rnacentral:piRNA from 1 species
AACAACUUUCUGCUGAGCCACGG